AAAGGGUCCGUAGGCGGUUUGGUAAGUCAGUGGUGAAAGCCCAUCGCUUAACGAUGGAACGGCCAUUGAUACUGCCAGACUUGAAUUACUAGGAAGUAACUAGAAUAUGUAGUGUAGCGGUGAAAUGCUUAGAUAUUACAUGGAAUACCAAUUGCGAAGGCAGGUUACUACUAGUGGAUUGACGCUGAUGGACGAAAGCGUGGGGAGCGAACAGGAUUAGAUACCCCUGU
rnacentral:rRNA from 1 species